rnacentral:rRNA from 1 species
ACCGGUCUCAGUUCGGAUCGCAGUCUGCAACUCGACUGCGUGAAGGUGGAGUCGCUAGUAAUCGCGGAUCAGCAACGCCGCGGUGAAUGCGUUCCCGGGCCUUGUACACACCGCCCGUCAAGUCAUGAAAGUGGGCAGCACCCGAAGACGGUGGCCUAACCCUUGUGGGGGGAGCCGUCUAAGGUGAGGCUCGUGAUUGGGACUAAGUCGUAACAAGGUAAC